AACGAUACUCCACCUUAGGCACUAGGACUGUACUCACCACCUAUGACUUUAAACCACUAAGAGUACUUUCCUCCCGUUCCAGCAGUAGAAAAUUUUUAUCCCAUUGAGCUUCACUUAAUCCAUUAUUUCGAGACACUGCUUCAACCACCUCAUUUUCCCUUUUGGCAAGAUGAAACAAAUGGGUGACGACCUCUACUUUCAAAGGAAAAUUACCACACCAAAUGUC
rnacentral:lncRNA from 1 species